UCAUCAUCAUUAACUGUAAAAACCUUACAACCAAAACUUAAAUGCACCUACCCCUAAUAAAUGACCUC
rnacentral:tRNA from 1 species